GUCGAGAAUCUUCCGCAAUGCGCGAAAGCGUGACGGAGCGACACCGCGUGAUGGAUGAAGUCCUUCGGGGCGUAAACAUCUUUUAUAAAGGAGGAAAUUUUUGACGUUACUUUAUGAAUAAGGGGCUCCCAAUCACGUGCCAGCAGGAGCGGUAAUACGAGAGCCUCAAGCGUUAUCCGGAAUCAUUGGGCGUAAAGGGUGCGUAGGUGGUUUGAUUAGUCUCCCGUUAAAACUUCGAGCUUAACUCGAAAAGAGCGGGGGAAACGGUCAAACUAGAGUAUGUGAGAGGUGUGUGGAACUCAUGGUGUAGGGGUGAAAUCCGUUGAUAUCAUGGGGAACACCAAAAGCGAAGGCAGCACACUGGCACAUCACUGACACUGAGGCACGAAACCUAAGGUAGCGAAUGGGAUUAGAUACCCCGGUAGUCC
rnacentral:rRNA from 1 species